AAGUUCAGAUGUGAAAGACCCGGGGCGUCAACCUCGGAAUAGCAUUUGAAACUAGGCAGACUAGAGUACUGUAGAGGGGGGUAGGAAUUUCAGGUGUAGCGGUGAAAUAGCGUAGAGAUCUGAAGGAAUACCGGUGGCGAAGGCGGCCCCCUCGGACAGAUACUGACACUCAGAUGCGAAAGCGUGGGGAGCAAACAGGAUUAGAUACCCUGGUAG
rnacentral:rRNA from 1 species